UUUUUUUUAAACCCAGGCAAUGCUGGUCUAAUCACCUAAACGGUGACUACUACACUAUAGGAUUUGAAAUACAUAUUUGUAUUUGUAAUGCUAUAGUGUUCAUAUGAUGCAAAGUCUAAAGAAUUGCAUCAACAUUUUGGACCAUAUUGCAUCACACGCACAUGAACUCAAAAAUUGACCCCUGGUGAGCUGUCUUUGGGGAUAUAUUUACGUCAAUCCUAAACUUCAU